GGAUCUGGGAAGGUUCCGGAGCCGGCGGCGCCCGGCUGCGGGUGGAGAAGAGCGACCGGAACCGGACCGGGAACUUCAGCUGCCGCUACGAGGAGAUGACCGAGGGCCGCUGGAUCGCCUCCUACCGCAGCGACGCCGUCCUGGUCAUCGUCAAAGGUCCAUGCCCGGCCCCUCUGCUCUCGGUGGAGCCGCCCUCGGGCGUGGUGGCCGCGGGCCAGCGCCUGCGCCUGACCUGCGCCGCGCCUCGGCGCCGCUUCCGCCGCCGCUUCCGCUUCUUCCACGACGGCGCCGAGCUGGUGCCGAGCGCCGAUGACGUCAUCGGUGACGUCACCGAGGAGGGGGCGGAGCUGCUCUUCCUGCGGAUCUCCCCGGAAAUGUCCGGGAAUUUCAGCUGCCGGCUGGAGGAGGAGGUGGGCGGGGCCUGGCUGGAGGCCCCGCCCAGCCGGGGCGUGGCCGUGGUGGUCUGGGGUAGGUGGGGGAUUUUGGGGCGAAAAGCGGUGGAUUUGGGAAAACGGGGUCGGGAGGUGGGCGGGAGGGCAGGCGCCAUCUUGGCAUUCAUUGGGUGGCCGUGCCCACACAAGUGGCCACACCCACCCGUCUAACCACACCCAGACAAUGGCCACGCCCAGCCAUUGACCACACCAGUUGGCCACGCCCAUCAUGAUGGCCACACCCACUCAAAUGAUCAUCACCCAAAAUGGCCACGCCCAUGAAGAUGGCCACACCCACUCCAAUGACCACACCCACUAAUUGACCACGCCCAUCAAAAUGACCACACUCACUCAAAUGGUCACCUCCCAAGAUGGCCACACCCAUCCAAAUGGCCACACCCAAUCCAAUGGCCAUCUUCUGCCAAAUGGCCACGCCCAUCCAUUGACCACACCCUGGUUGACCAUGCCCAUUAAUAUGGCCACACCCAUGCAAAUGACCACAUCCCAAAUGGCCACGCCCAUCUAAAUGACCACACCCACACCCCAAAAUGACCACACCCACGAAUUGACCACGCCCAUAAAAAUGGCCACACCCACUCAAAUGGUCAGCUCCCAAAAUGGCCACACCCACCUAUUGACCACACCCCGAUUGACCAUGCUCAUUAAUAUGGCCACACCUAUGCAAAUGACCACAUCCCAAAUGGCCACGUCCAUCUAAAUGGCCACACCCAAACCCCAAAAUGACCACACCCACGAAUUGACCACGCCUAUUAAAAUG
rnacentral:lncRNA from 1 species